rnacentral:tRNA from 2 species
AAAAAGAUAAGCUAAUUAAGCUAAUGGGUUCAUACCUCAUUUAUAAAGGUUUUAAUCCUUUUCUUUUUA